rnacentral:lncRNA from 1 species
CCACCAGCUCAUCUCGUCUCUCUCCCUCAUCUCUCCAUCUAACCUAAAAAACAGCAUUCAAACCUCAUUUCUACCUACAAAUCAGGAUAAAAUUCAAAGGACAUGGCUCAUCUUCUUCAUCUUCCAGAAAAUUCAAAGGACAGGGCUCAUCUUCUUCUUCAAUUCCAUCUAAUCACCAGUAUCCAGAUUGAAGUAGUGUGUUGCUGAGGAGUUGCUGUGAAGAUGAGAGUUUGCUUGGAUGCAUGGUAGAACCUCCUUUCUACAUUGCAGACAGAAUUGAAGAGUUGAAGAUUGCUAUUCAAAUGCUGAACAGGAGCUUACUCAAGCGCUACUGUUUUGAAGAUUUGGUGAUUGGAUGCAUCAGCUUAGGGGGAGUCUGUUGCUGACAGAAGCUGUUAAAGCUGAAGCUAUCCAAAGACCAAAAGACUUGAAGAUUCUGAAGACUGGAGUUACCUUUACGAGCUAUUGUCAAGGGGGAGUUUGUUGGUGCAUGUUUGUGACAACAGCUUAGAUUUGGUCUUUGGAUAUCUUGUAAUUAGUAAAAUGAUAAACAGUUAGCGGGUUUAGCUUUGUAAUAGUUUGUAAUAGUGAAUUAAGAGUGAUUGGGCCAAACCAAACCCACAUAUGGGGGAGGGUUUGCGAAUUGGGCCUUGCCCAAGACCUAGCCCAUAUGCAAAGCUUUGUCCUAUAUAAACAAAGCUUAGCAUUAGGGUUUAGGUUAAUCACCUUAAUCACUUGGAGAGAAUUCGUGAAAGACAACGGCUUGGACGAAUUAGGAUCUUGAUUGAUUGUAAUCGUUACGAAGAUAAUCAAUAAAGAUCGGGU